UCCCAAUAGCUCAGUUGGUAGAGCAUGAGACUCUUAAUCUCAGGGCUGUGGGUUUGAGUCCCACACUGGGCAAAA
rnacentral:tRNA from 1 species